GCCCUGGCAGUGCAAUGGUUGAGUUUGGCUGCUAACCAAAAGGUUGGUGGUUCAAACCCACCCAGCGGCU
rnacentral:tRNA from 1 species